rnacentral:rRNA from 1 species
UGAGGAACAUGACCUUCGUCGGGGGAGUAGCCGGCCCAACGGCCGGGUAAUACCGCGUACGACCACUUUGGGACAUCCCUAGGUGGUGAAAGCAGCAAUGCGCCGAUGGAGUGCCUCGCGGCCUAUCAGCUAGUUGGUGAGGUAACGGCUCACCAAGGCGACGACGGGUAGCUGGUCUGAGAGGAUGGCCAGCCACAUUGGGACUGAGACACGGCCCAGACCUCCGUACGGGAGCAG